AAACAUAGAAUCAUCAGGGUUGGAGAAGACCUCCAAGAUCAUCUGGUUCAGCUGUCACCCUACUACUGAUGUCACCCACUAAACCAUGUCCCUAAGCACUAAGUCCAACCUUUCCUUGUACACUCCCAGGAUGGUCACUCUGCUGCUUCCCUAUCACAUCCAUCCUCUUUUCUGUAGGGACAGUUAAACACAAGUUUUGUGGCAAUGAGACUGUAAAUCACACAGGUGAUCAGGAUGAUGAGUCCAUGGUUAUGGUUGGUGGGAAAUUUCACAAGAUGCCAAGUGCACUUAAUGUUCUGCUGCAGCUGCAAGGAAUCUCCAUGACCAGUUUGCCACUAUUUUAGGCAGGUGAUUUGACUCAGUGUUAGUUAGAGAAUAUAGCAGAAAUAGACAACUGGGUAUUGGUAAAAAGGCUCAUGUCAUGCAGGGUAUCCUAUUGUCUCUUACCACAGCCAACUCAAGCAUUGAGGGAAAACAGUGAAGGAUUCUACAGACAUGCUGGCAGAGCAGGCAACCACCCUUGGUCUACCCCCUGACUGGGAGGUCUGGAUUAAUAAGAGGGAGAAGGGAGAAAUAUAUGUCACCAAGAAGACUACUGUGUAUUUUCAGAAAUGUUUUGGAAGAUAUUUUCAGAAAUACCUUCACAGUGAACAUGAAAAUCAAUUGUACCCCCUUGUGAUGAACACACCAUGUGUUAACUCACUGAAAGCGAUUUACCAUGGCAUUGGGUGGUGGAUUUAUCACAGAACCUGCUAUGAAGUGGUCUCUGGGGGCAACAGAACUAAAGUGCAGGCUGAAGAUCACCUCGUUGAGGACUCAUGUUGAGGAAUCUUCACAAAAAGGCUGGUGUCCUGACCCUCUGAGAUUUCCACUCAGCUUCCACCUUAAAGACUGGAGUAAUGCUCUCCUCAAGAGUUC
rnacentral:lncRNA from 1 species